UACGUAGGGUGCGAGCGUUAAUCGGAAUUACUGGGCGUAAAGUGUGCGCAGGUGGCCGCGCAAGUCGAGUGUGAAAUCCCCGAGCUUAACUUGGGAUUUGCGCUCGAAACUACGUGGCUCGAGUGUGGCAGAGGAAGGUGGAAUUCCACGUGUAGCGGUGAAAUGCGUAGAGAUGUGGAGGAACACCGAUGGCGAAGGCAGCCUUCUGGGCCAACACUGACGCUCAUGCACGAAAGCGUGGGGAGCAAACAGG
rnacentral:rRNA from 1 species